UACAAAUAUUUUAGAAGUAUUAGGUUAAAUUCACUGAUCAGGCAUUAAUCAGUUGUCAUACAGCAGGUUUAGUGCAUGAGUUAAUUAAAAAAGCGCCAUCUUCAAGGGACUCUCCGUUUGAUAACUUGUGUAAAAUAUAUCUUGUCGGAUUGUUACCUUGAAAAUGGCAGAUAUCUUCGUAAAACAUCUGAACAGGGUAGUUCUGAGCUUUCAGCGACCCCCUGCUCUGGCCGCCCAAAUGGAGAGACUCGCGUAGACAGGAGGUUCGCUCACUUGCAAACCACCCGAAGCCCCUUUGGUCGUAUAAAAAUUGCUAGACCGAACUUAACAAGGCUCUGAUGCAACAUCUCUAUCUAGUGCGUAUCAUGGAAGAGAUCUUCGCGAAGCUCAAUAAAGGAUUUCCCAUUAACUUAUUUUAGUGAAGCGUAUUUGCAAACUAACGAGGACUUAUGAGGCCUGCUCACUAUGAGCAUUCCGGAGGAUCCAUAACUCAAUUUAACAGGCUAUUUUUGGCAUCAAAUACGUUCUUGGU